rnacentral:misc_RNA from 1 species
GAAAUGCGAUACGUAGUGUGAAUUGCAGAAUUCCGUGAAUCAUCGAAUCUUUGAACGCACAUUGCGACCUUUGGUAGGUCAAUUGGGCAUGCCUGUUCGAGCGUCAUUUCCCCUCAAUCUCGAGCUCUGCUUUGUGAUGGGCGCUUGUCCCGCCCGUCUGCGCGCGGACUCGCCUCAAAACCAUUGGCGGCCAGCAUCCGUUUUUCGCACGCAGUAUACCGCGCGAGUGGAAUUAGGAAGCCCGGCGUCCACAAAAAGGACCCCCAAGAUUGACCUCGGAUCAGGUAGGGAUACCCGCUGAACUUAA